CCUACGGGAGGCUGCAGUGGGGAAUAUUGGACAAUGGGGGGAACCCUGAUCCAGCCAUGCCGCGUGUGUGAAGAAGGCCCUCGGGUUGUAAAGCACUUUCAGUGAGGAAGAACGCCUGGUGGUUAAUACCCAUCAGGAAAGACAUCACUCACAGAGGAAGCACCGGCUAACUCCGUGCCAGCAGCCGCGGUAAUACGGAGGGUGCGAGCGUUAAUCGGAAUUACUGGGCGUAAAGCGCGCGUAGGUGGCUUGAUAAGCCGGUUGUGAAAGCCCCGGGCUCAACCUGGGAACGGCAUCCGGAACUGUCAAGCUAGAGUGCAGGAGAGGAAGGUAGAAUUCCCGGUGUAGCGGUGAAAUGCGUAGAGAUCGGGAGGAAUACCAGUGGCGAAGGCGGCCUUCUGGACUGACACUGACACUGAGGUGCGAAAGCGUGGGUAGCAAACAGGAUUAGAUACCCGAGUAGUC
rnacentral:rRNA from 1 species